GAAUUUAUUGUUUCCUUUUGGGCGAUCGCAUGUGUGUGUGUGUGUGUUUUUCAAUUUAUUGUUAGUAAUUAUUAUAUUGUGGCUUUCGUUUCGGCGGUGUAUAUUAAUGAGGUUCUUAAUAGUAAUUCUUACGUCACUAACUUGAGUAACGUUCUCAGUACUUGAUUGGCAAUAAUUUAGCUUACGAUUCUCAUUCAAGUUUGAUUUCAAAAUAUGUUGAUCUGCUUUUAAAAGGAAAGGGUUAUCACUAUAUAUGCUGGAGGAUAAUUGGCACAUGAUAAUUCCCUUCAUUGAAAAGUAACAAAUGUAUUAGUAAUAAAUCUGAGUCUGGUCACCUUCCAUUUUCAUCUGAUGUCUGAUCAAAUCUCAAUCUAUUCAGCCAAAGUCGAGGGGUCUAACAGAAGGGUGAUAGAUAUUAAUGAUAAGCUCCUUUUCCUCUAGUCUCAUCCUCCGUGUACUCACCCAUUUGGCGACGAACCCCUUACAGCACUGUACUUGUUUGAUCAUAUUGACUGGGCCCAGAAAUGCGCUUUAACAUUUGGACUGUGGGAUAUCAUGUC